rnacentral:rRNA from 1 species
CGCGUGCACUGGUUCGGCCGGGCCUUUCCCUCUGGGGAGCCGCAUGCCCUUCACUGGGUGUGUCGGGGAACCAGGACUUUUACUUUGAACAAAUUAGAUCGCUUAAAGAAGGCCUAUGCUCGAAUACAUUAGCAUGGAAUAAUAGAAUAGGACGCGUGGUUCUAUUUUGUUGGUUUCUAGGACCGCCGUAACGAUUAAUAGGGACAGUCGGGGGCAUCAGUAUUCAAUUGUCAGAGGUGAAAUUCUUGGAUUUAUUGAAGACUAACUACUGCGAAAGCAUUUGCCAAGGAUGUUUUCAUUAAUCAGGAACGAAAGUUAGGGGAUCGAAGACGAUCAGAUACCGUCGUAGUCUUAACCAUAAACUAUGCCGACUAGGGAUCGGACGAUGUUAUAUUUUGACUCGUUCGGCACCUUACACGAAAGUAAAGUUUCUGGGUUCUGGGGGGAGUAUGGUCGCAAGGCUGAAACUUAAAGAAAUUGACGGAAGGGCACCACCAGGGGUGGAGCCUGCGGCUUAAUUUGACUCAACACGGGGAAACUCAUCAGGUCCAGACACAAGUAGGAUUGACAGAUUGAGAGCUCUUUCUUGAUUUUGUGGGUGGUGGUGCAUGGCCGUUCUUAGUUGGUGGAGUGAUUUGUCUGCUUAAUUGCGAUAACGAACGAGACCUUAACCUGCUAAAUAGCCCGCAUUGCUUUGGCAGUGCGCCGGCUUCUUAGAGGGACUAUCGG